AACGUAGGAGACAAACGUUAUCCGGAGUUACUGGGCGUAAAGGGCGUGCAGGCGGUCGACUAAGUCUGGCGUGAAAGCUCGCGGCUAAACCGCGAGAGGUCGUUGGAUACUGGUUGACUAGAGGACGGUAGAGGCGUGUGGAAUUCCGGGUGUAGUGGUGAAAUGCGUAGAGAUCCGGAGGACACCAGUGGCGAAGGCGACACGCUGGGCCGUACCUGACGCUAAAACGCGACAGCAUGGGGAGCGAACGGG
rnacentral:rRNA from 1 species